ACAUAAAGAUAUUGCUAAAGGCAGAUUGAGAAUCAUACUGCUGGUGCUUCAAAGUCUGGCUUUAGAAAUCCUCCCUGGUCCCUGUGUCGUAAGAGCAGAGUCAAGGAUGGCAGAGCUCACUUUAAAUUGGAAAGGGGCAGAGGACCAAACUGAUAUUUGUACUUUUGUUGAAUAGUUUCUCGUUCAUGAGUAGUCCAACUGAGACCAAUGGGAACACUCACAUUAAAUACUCAAGGCAGUGAAAAAAGAGGAGGAAGUGGUGCUCCCCAAGUUCAAAUUCUUCAUGUACAUCAGGGAGAGAGGGAAACCAAACCUGCAUCUCCCACAUCCCAGAGCGUGACUCUUCAGCGAUGGAAAUUUAAGCAGAACCCUUUAUGGGUUUUUUUCGUACGCACCUGAGUAACCGAAAGAGACGACGCCUUGUGUUAUCACAGUGGAACGUUCUAACCUCUCCCCUGAAACUAGCUGUUGCUAGAUUUGAUGACAGAUGUUGAUGUGGGAAGAACAUCGAGCAAAGGGCACUUCUUGCUACGGGCUCCGAACAUCUACAAUUGCUUGUUUCACACGACUGCGGUAGAAAUACACUCUAAUGUCUGAUAAAAAGGCUGGCAGAAAAAAAGCAAGUAGAUUUCUUUCCCAUCUAAUGUAUAAUGAAACAUUAAUAUAAAGUCUCAAAGAAACUCCUCAACUGAGGAAAAUACAGAACAUUUUCAUUAUGUUAAGUCAAAGCCUCCAAUUCAUUUUGUCUACAGUAGAAAGACAUGCAACAGUAACUUACUGUAGGCAACAUUUCAUAAGUUAAUAUCUAGCCCAUUAUUCUUGUGUAUGUUUCCUGGAAAGAAUGUUAGUUUUUCUCUAUUAAAUACAUAU